GAGUUUGAUCGUGGCUCAGGAUGAACGCUGGCGGCGUGCCUAAUACAUGCAAGUCGAGCGAACAGACGAGGAGCUUGCUCCUCUGACGUUAGCGGCGGACGGGUGAGUAACACGUGGAUAACCUACCUAUAAGACUGGGAUAACUUCGGGAAACCGGAGCUAAUACCGAAUAAUAUAUUGAACCGCAUGGUUCAAUAGUGAAAAACGGUUUUGCUGUCACUUAUAGAUGGAUCCGCGCCGCAUUAGCUAGUUGGUAGGGUAACGGCUUACCAAGGCGACGAUGCGUAGCCGACCUGAGAGGGUGAUCGGCCACACUGGAACUGAGACACGGUCCAGACUCCUACGGGAGGCAGCAGUAGGGAAUCUUCCGCAAUGGGCGAAAGCCUGACGGAGCAACGCCGCGUGAGUGAUGAAGGUCUUCGGAUCGUAAAACUCUGUUAUUAGGAAGAACAAAUGUGUAAGUAACUAUGCACGUCUUGACGGUACCUAAUCAGAAGCCACGGCUAACUACGUGCCA
rnacentral:rRNA from 1 species